rnacentral:ribozyme from 1 species
GACUCGCUUGACUGUUCACCUCCCCGUGGUGCGAGUUGGACACCCACCACUCGCAUUCUUCACCUAUUGUUUAAUUGUGCUUGUGGUGGGUGACUGAGAAACAGUC